GACGAACGCUGGCGGCGUGCUUAACACAUGCAAGUCGAACGAAGUGGCGAACGGGUGAGUAACGCGUAAUCAACCUGCCAUUCAGAGGGGGACAACAGUUGGAAACGACUGCUAAUACCGCAUACUGAAGGAGGGGAUUGCGUCUGUUUAGCUAGUUGGCGGGGUAACGGCCCACCAAGGCCAUGAUCAGUAGCCGGUCUGAGAGGAUGAACGGCCACAUUGGGAAUGGGACACGGCCCAGAAUUCUACGGGAGGCAGCAGUGGGGAAUCUUCCGCAAUGGACGGAAGGCUGACGGAGCAACGCCGCGUGAGUGAUGACGGCCUUCGGGUGGUAAAGCUCUGUUAAUCGGGACGCGGUACCGAAAUAGAAAGCCACGGCUAACUACGUGCCAGCAGCCGCGGUAAUUC
rnacentral:rRNA from 1 species